GACGAACGCUGGCGGCGUGCUUAACACAUGCAAGUCGAACGGAAAGGCCCUGCUUUUGUUGGGUGCUCGAGUGGCGAACGGGUGAGUAACACGUGAGUAACCUGCCCUUGACUUUGGGAUAACUUCAGGAAACUGGGGCUAAUACCGGAUAUGAGCUCCUGCUGCAUGGGGGGGGUUGGAAAGUUUCGGCGGUUGGGGAUGGACUCGCGGCUUAUGAGCUUGUUUGUGGGGUAGUUGCUUACCAAGGCUUUGACGGGUAGCCGGCCUGAGAGGGUGACCGGCCACAUUGGGACUGAGAUACGGCCCAGACUCCUACGGGAGGCAGCAGUGGGGAAUAUUGCACAAUGGGCGGAAGCCUGAUGCAGCAACGCCGCGUGCGGGAUGACGGCCUUCGGGUUGUAAACCGAUUUCGCCUGUGACGAAGCGUGAGUGACGGUAAUGGGUAAAGAAGCACCGGCUAACUACGUG
rnacentral:rRNA from 1 species